rnacentral:rRNA from 1 species
GACGAGCGCUGGCGGCGUGCUUAACACAUGCAAGUCGAACGAUGAAGCCUUAGCUUGCUUUGGUGGAUUAGUGGCGAACGGGUGAGUAACACGUGAGCAACGUGCCCAGGACUCUGGAAUAACCGCGGGAAACCGUGGCUAAUACCGGAUAGGUGCCGAGGCCGCAUGGUCUUCGGUUGGAAAGUUUUUGCGGUUCUGGAUCGGCUCACGGCCUAUCAGCUUGUUGGUGGGGUAAUGGCCUACCAAGGCGACGACGGGUAGCCGGCCUGAGAGGGUGACCGGCCACACUGGGACUGAGACACGGCCCAGACUCCUACGGGAGGCAGCAGUGGGGAAUAUUGCACAAUGGGCGCAAGCCUGAUGCAGCAACGCCGCGUGGGGGAUGACGGCCUUCGGGUUGUAAACCUCUUUUAGUAGGGAAGAAGCGCAAGUGACGGUACCUGCAGAAAAAGCACCGGCUAACUACGUG